AACAUACCAGUACUUUCUGUAUGAUAGGCUCUACCCUAGUUCUCUACAUGCAUCCUUUUAUCUAAACUUCUUCAAAGCCCUGUGCAGUGAAUAGAAGUGCCCUCAGUGCAUUAUAUUGAGGGGUUUAUGAGAUCAACAUGAGUUAUUAUUGGUACUGUUAACCUUGACCAUUUGCUUAAGGUGGUGGUUGUCAGAUUGCUCUACUGCAGUGUUAAUAAUUUUUCCCUUUUCGUGUGCCAUUUGUUGUAGGCUGAAUAUUUGUGUCUCCUCCUUGCUGCCCUCUCAAAUUCAUAUGUUGAAAUCCUAACCCCCAAAGUGAUGGUGUUAGGAGAUGGGCGCUUUUGGGAGGUGAUUAGAUCAUGAGGGCGGAGCCGUCAUAGUUGUGAUGACUACUGUUAUAAAAGAGACCCCAGGGAGCAAGCCGUGUGAGGAUACAAUGAGAAGUCAGCAGUUUGCAACUUGAAGAGAGCUGACACCCUGAACCUGGACUUCUGGCUUCCAGAACUCAAAGCCAUACAAUACAAUACAGUCCUCUGCCAGCAGAUCUGUUACUAAAGGAAUUCAUGCAUCUUGCAUCUUGAAGAUGCAUUAUUAAUGCCUGGACAAAUCACAUCAGGUGAAACGCAGCAAGUCCCUGGCACUGAAAAAAAGGAACAAAGGCUGGUUCUACAAGAGAGCGAUGGAUGAGACAAAUUAUAACAGCUGGGAGUUUCUUCUUGCUUGGCCUUCGUAUGAGAGUCAAGACAUAAAUUGGACCAUAAAUUGGCCUCUGUCAGAAUCUACAUCGGAAUGACACCAAAUACAUGUCAUCGGGCUUGUGUUCCAGCCAGCAGCAGGGAUCCACUGGUGCUUGUCAUCUUGAUCAAAUGUUCACCUCACUCCAUUUUCCAGCUUGUGCUUCUACUUUGAAGAAAACACGAUAAUGAGAUUGUGCAGACAGAAAGAAGAUCUUUCUCAACUUUGCAUCUUCAGUGUGUAGCCAGCACCUGGCAUGUGG